UCACUCAAUGACCUUGCGUUUUCAAACUCUAUCAAAUGGUAGGCUAACAAGCAGAAUUCUUGGAUUAGCCUCCAAGAGAGCAUGCUAGUUAGCAUUGUUUCCUAUUUAAAAACUCCACCUUUAUUGUCACAGCGAACAAACGGCAAAUGUGGACGAACGACCGUGAUAAACUAGUCUUUUAAUACAAAAUAUUUUUUUCAAAAGAACCUAACGGGGUGGUGUCUUAAAUAUGUGCAUUUUCAACUUCAGGAGGAGGACAAGAUCCGCCCACGGCCACCACGACUGGAUCCCAUUUCGGAGAAGGAGUAAGCAGAAACUGUGGAUUUUUUUGCAGUGCAUCAUGUCUUCUGAAAAGACUAUUGCAGUUAUACAAGAAAAAUGGCCGGAAACCCUGCGGACCAGGGCCGCGACUUCGACCGCUCUCCAGAGAAUUUGAA
ensembl:lncRNA